GACGAACCGAGCGAACGUUGUUCGGAAUCACUGGGCUUAAAGGGCGCGUAGGCGGGCAUUCAAGUCUGUGGUGAGAUCCGGCAGCUCAACUGUCGAAUUGCCGUGGAAACUGGAUGCCUCGAGGGAGGUAGGGGUGCGCGGAACUGAUGGUGGAGCGGUGAAAUGCGUUGAUAUCAUCAGGAACUCCGGUGGCGAAGGCGGCGCACUGGACCUCUUCUGACGCUGAGGCGCGAAAGCCAGGGGAGCAAACGGGAUUAGAUACCCCAGUAGU
rnacentral:rRNA from 1 species